UACGUAGGGUCCGAGCGUUGUCCGGAAUUACUGGGCGUAAAGAGCUCGUAGGUGGUUUGUCGCGUUGUUCGUGAAAACUCACAGCUCAACUGUGGGCGUGCGGGCGAUACGGGCAGACUAGAGUACUGCAGGGGAGACUGGAAUUCCUGGUGUAGCGGUGGAAUGCGCAGAUAUCAGGAGGAACACCCAUAGCGAAGGCAGCUGCG
rnacentral:rRNA from 1 species